GUCGCAGGACCCCGACGGGGGACCUUCGGGCCUCUCACUAUCGGAUGAACCCAGAUGGGAUUAGCUAGUAGGCGGGGUAAUGGCCCACCUAGGCGACAAUCCCUAGCUGGUCUGAGAGGAUGACCAGCCCACUGGAACUGAGACACGGUCCAGACUCCUACGGGAGGCAGCAGUGGGGAAUAUUGCACAAUGGGUUGUGGCCUGAUGCACCUUUGCCGCGUGUAUGAAGAAGGCCUUCGGGUUUGUAAAGUAUUUUCAGCGGGGAGGAAGGCGAUGCGGUUAAUAACCGCUUCUAUUGACGUUCCCCGCAAAAUAAGCACCGGCUAACUUCCGUGCCAGCAGCCGCGGUAAUACGGAGG
rnacentral:rRNA from 1 species